AAUCAUGGAAGGAACUGGUCAAUAUACCAGCCAAUGUCACUAAGAGAUACUGGCACUCUCUCUCACUUUUGAGUGUGACUCCAACCAUUAACUGGAUAAUUGUGUUUGGAGGAAUGAGAGACUUUUUUACAAUAAGUGAUCCAGUAGCUAUUGAACUCAUCCUUGGAACUAAAGUCUUGGGCCUUUUCACAAAGAAAUACAUCAAUGAUUGGUCUACUAGUAUAUUGCCUCUGGACCAGUAUCAAGAGAAACUACAAGAAAGGAGAAGAGAA